GAUGAACGCUGGCGGCGUGCUUAACACAUGCCAGUCGAACGGUGAAGGCGGAGCUUGCUCUGCUGGAUCAGUGGCGAACGGGUGAGUAACACGUGAGCAAUCUGCCCCUGACUCUGGGAUAAGCGCUGGAAACGGCGUCUAAUACUGGAUACGAGCUGCGAAGGCAUCUUCAGCAGCUGGAAAGAAUUUCGGUCAGGGAUGAGCUCGCGGCCUAUCAGCUUGUUGGUGAGGUAACGGCUCACCAAGGCGUCGACGGGUAGCCGGCCUGAGAGGGUGACCGGCCACACUGGGACUGAGACACGGCCCAGACUCCUACGGGAGGCAGCAGUGGGGAAUAUUGCACAAUGGGCGAAAGCCUGAUGCAGCAACGCCGCGUGAGGGACGACGGCCUUCGGGUUGUAAACCUCUUUUAGCAGGGAAGAAGCGAAAGUGACGGUACCUGCAGAAAAAGCGCCGGCUAACUACGUG
rnacentral:rRNA from 1 species